ACUGUGGCCUAGCGGUAUGGCACUUGACUUGUAAUCAAGCGGUCGGGGGUUCAAAUCCCUCCAGUG
rnacentral:tRNA from 1 species